CACACACACACACACACACACACAACCAGAGAGGCCCGGGGGGCCCUAGAGAGGGAGACACACACACUGCCCUGCGUGCGCGGUGCGGGCGGGCGGGGCACACACAGAAGUAUCUGCCUUUGCUGAUGAUGCUGUUUCCAGUGUGUAUGUGAGAGGCAGUCUGCAAUGUGUGUGUGUGUGUGUGUGUGUGUGUGUGAGGUACAAAGGCUACAGGAUUACUGAAGUGGAGACGCACACAAACACGAUCUCUGGGUCAGGGGGACACAUCUCUCUUCUAAUUUAAAGCGACAGAGGAGCAAGCCAGCUCUGCGUUUAUCUGCUCUGAUGACAAUCAGCAGAACCUCCCAAACUACUGUACCCUCAAACUGUACCGCCGUCAGCCAAAACCUAACCUCAGCAUGCAGAGGAGCUGCCUCCCUGACCGCUGGUAGCAUCAUCCCAGGUCAGGAUGAGGGGCACGUCGUCAUCGGUACCCUCCAUUCUCCCGGACUGGCAAGAUGAAAUCCACGGGUAAAAGCAACGUAGUACCCCCCCAAACUAGCUAGCUAGCGUUUUUAGCUGAUAAUUCCUGCUAGCUAGACUAGCCCUUAGCUACUGGCCAAUGCUAUGGUCAAAACAUAAACGACAUAGCUAGCAUAACGACGCAUCGUGCUAGCUAGAUGACAUUAGCUACCUCUUGCUACCUGGAUAACUAGCUAACUUUCCACGUGACUCCACUAAACUAAGAGUGCUCGAAAAGCACCCGAUAAACGAGCUUAUCUUCAUUAACAGUCGUCUAUUAGUCAAAUGGCUAGAUACUGCUGCUUGAUUUAUCCCGAGUUGACAUCUGUCAUUGACCAGUAAACUAUGCUAUUCUAACUCAUCGAUGUCCAGUCCAUCAGCAUUAACUGCCUACAAAAAUAUUUGCUAGCGGAAAGACUGAGAAUAGUUUUGUAAACCAUGACUCAUAAGCAUUUUGUUGGUACCACCAUCAACUAAGGUUUGUAUCAAAAGUCGAAAUAAAUAUGAGAUAUUUUCAAAUAACGGUAUCUCCAUCCAAAUAGAGCCCCACAGUGAAGGUGUCAUAAUACCCAUAAAGCCUAGCGGUCAUACAGGGAAAUGGUUCCAAUCGUUUUUCACCCAAUCAUUUUUUUCCAUAGGGAAUUUUAGAACCCUUAAAAUAAGGGCUUUGUUUCGUGAAGGCUUACCCUGGCGGGACGUUUUGAUUACCUUAUAAAUCUCUCUCGGACAAGGUGACUUUUAUCAAUAUAUUCAGCUCUCCUAUUCGAAAAUGCUAAUUAGCAUCAAAGUGGACAUCAUGUAAGACUACAAAUCCCUGCAAGCUCCUGCAUGUCAUCUAUAGUUACACCUUUGCUAACAGGUAUUGUGUCAAUAUAAAACUUGCACAAGUCAGUUCAAAGAAUUUUCUAUUUAAAUACAUUUACCAAAUGUAUUCAUUACUAAAUUUAGCUAACAUUAGAUAGUUAAUCCAGAGAUUCUUACAUUUGCCUCGAUUCAACAGUCUCGUCCAGAUCAUAAUGGCAUUUAUAGUUCUUUAUGAUAGCUACAUUAGCAGCUAAUCAGCGUUUCAUUUUUGGGGGGUACAUACAGACAAUUAUAUUGAUAAAAUUCACCUUGUCCUUGAGAGAUUUACACAGUUAUCAAAACAUCAUGCCAGGGUAAACCUACAUGAAACAGCCCUUAUUUGAAGUAUUUCUAAAAUCUUCUAUGGGAAAAUUUAAUGGUGGAAAAAUGAUUGGAACCAUUUCUGUGUUUGACCUCUAUGUUUUAUGGGUAUUAUGACUCAUACUGUGGCACUCAAUAGCUUGCACAGUAGGCUGUACGAUUCACUUUACAUUUUACUACAACGCCACUGACGACCAGCAGUCCUUGUUUUUCAAAAUGAGAGUUGUGGCUUGAAAUUCUAAAGUUUAUCCAUCAGACUGGCUGCCAUAAGCCUGACUUUAAUAAUAAUGAUUUUUUGUUGUUACCCUAAUUGAAUAUAUACAGUGGGGCAAAAAAGUAUUUAGUCAGCCACCAAUUGUGCAAGUUCUCCCACUUAAAAAGAUGAGAGAGGCCUGUAAUUUUCAUCAUAGGUACACUUCAACUAUGACAGACAAAAUGAGAAAAAAAUCCAGAAAAUCACAUUGUAGGAUUUUUAAUGAAUUUAUUUGCAAAUUAUGGUGGAAAAUAAGUAUUUGGUCACCUACAAACAAGCAAGAUGUCUGGCUCUCAUAGACCUGUAACUUCUUCUUUAAGAGGCUCCUCUGUCCUCCACUCAUUACCUGUAUUAAUGGCACCUGUUUGGACUUGUUAUCAGUAUAAAAGACACCUGUCCACAACCUCAAACAGUCACACUCCAACUGCACUAUGGCCAAGACCAAAGAGCUGUCAAAGGACACCAGAAACAAAAUUGUAGACCUAUACCAGGCUGGGAAGACUGAAUCUGCAAUAGGUAAGCAGCUUGGUUUGAAGAAAUCAACUGUGGGAGCACCAAGGUACGUUCAUCUCUAGGAGACAGAACGCGUCUCCUUCCUGAGCGGUAUGACGGCUGCUUGGUCCCAUGGUGUUUAUACUUGCGUACUAUUGUUUGUACAGAUGAAGAUGGUACCUUCAGGCUUUUGUAAAUUACUCCCAAGGAUGAACCAGACUUGUGGAGGUCUACAAUUUGUUUUCUGAGGUCUUGGCUGAUUUCUUUUGAUUUUCCCAUGAUGUCAAGCAAAGAGGCACUGAGUUUGAAGGUAGGCUUUGAAAUACAUCCACAGGUACACCUCCAAUUGACUCAAAGAUGUCAAUUAGCCUAUCAGAAGCUUCUAAAGCCAUUACAUAAUUUUCUGGAAUUUUCCAAGCUGUUUAAAGGCACAGUCAUCUUUGUGUAUGUAAACUUCUGGCCCACUGGAAUUGUGAUACAGUGAAUUAUAAGUGAAAUAAUCUGUCUGUAAACAGUUGUUGGAAAAAUUACUUGUGUCUUGAACAAAGUAGAUGACCUAACCGACUUGCCAAAACAAUAGUUUGUUAACAAGAAAUUUGUGGAGUGGUUGAAAAACGAGUUUGAAUGUUUCCAACCUAAGUGUAAUUUACAUUUACAUUACAUUUAAGUCAUUUAGCAGACGCUCUUAUCCAGAGCGACUUACAAAUUGGUGCGUUCACCUUAAGACAUCCAGUGGAACAGCCACUUUACAAUAGUGCAUCUAAAUCUUUUAAGGGGGGGGGGGGUGAGAAGGAUUACUUUAUCCUAUCCUAGGUAUUCCUGAAAGAGGUGGGGUUUCAGGUGUCUCCGGAAGGUGGUGAUUGACUCCGCUGUCCUGGCGUCGUGAGGGAGUUUGUUCCACCAUUGGGGGGCCAGAGCAGCGAACAGUUUUGACUGGGCUGCGCAGGAACUGUACUUCCUUUUUUUUUUUUUUUUUUUUUUUUUAAAUUAAACUUCCGACUUCAACUGUAUAUAUACAUUUAAUGUUGAUAUUGUGAACCUGUUUUAUUUUUUUUACCUCCUGUUUCAGGAAGUGAUGUCACUGAGUACCCCCAUUUAUAGAACCUUUCACCCCCACCUGUGGUAUGAAUGCCUGAUGAAGACCUAAGGGUUGAAAUCUUAUAAUAAAAUCACAUGGGAGCAUGA